AAAACGUUGUGCUUCUGGCUGGUGUGGAGCUUUGUGGAGAUGGUUAGCUGGGGAAAAGGCGCCUUACCGCUGGAUGUAAGAGUUAUUCACACCCCGGUGGUCCAAGUCGUGGCUGAGAGCCGCGAUGAGCAGCGCAAGGAUCUCCAGGUCAGUCAGCUUGCUCUGCUCCACCGGAGAUGUCCGCGGAAAGAAAGAGAAAGACCACUUGCUGCCUGCGGAUUCUGCUGCGCUCGCUCUGCUGGUAACUGCUGGAUCCUCAAGGAACAGAGACAAUGUGAAUAUUAAGCAAAAUAAUACAUAAAAAAGAGGACUAGAAAUGAAAAAUCUGGCCUUAAAAGGUUGCACAAUAUGUUGCAAAGCCAAAUAGAGGUUAUUUUGGUAAUAUCUGUCAUUUGUAUUAUUUAUCCUGCUGGUCUCCUUCAUCAGUAAAAAAGCAAAGUUGAAUUCAUUAUCAGCUCCACUUUGCUGGAAACUCUCAACACUCUAUAUAGUAUGUUUAUAAGAUUAGACAAAAUCAUCAUUUUGUUAUUCUUCAUAAAAAGCACGGACAGUCUUCAGCUGUAUAAUCCUGAUGACCUUUCCACAGUCCAAAAUAAGUAGAUCCUAUUUUUUUUAAUAAAUGUUUGCUAUGGCAGGGAAAUACUACUAUGGUAUUUCAUACGGCCUCUUAGACAACAACUCCUUCUUUUAGCUCUAGCCAGUUAAAAUGUGCUCCCUAUGGAAAGAGAGACAGAGAAUAACAUUUUUAGAAAUUACUUAAAAAAAAAAAAAAGAAAAAAGCAUGGAAGCUCUGAAUGAAAAUCAGUUAUUUGAUGGAUGCCUGGAAUCACUUACCUAGAAGAACUAUUCAAGUCCCAAUGAAGUUAGAACCUAAGACAGAGCUAUGGAUAAAAUAUGGCCUGGAAAGGAACGAAUUACUUGAACGCUUUCUGCCUUGAUCUUCCUUGUACACAGUCUCUGGUCAAUGUAGAUGAUAUUAAAACCCUUUCCGUGAGAUGCGACUUAACAAAAUUUAACUGAGUGCUCCAGAGAAAAUGUGAUAGAGAACACUGUAAUUAGCUAUGAAGCCACUUGAGUGGUUCUGCAGGAAUUCUACUAUGGAGCAGGUUGAAUGGGAACACGAGAAAUUUGAUACUUUUUCUUAUAGAAGAAAAUUCUUCUGGAGAAAAUAUUUCCCCAAAGACUAUUAAAUUUAACAUGAAGUUAUUUUAAAGAUUUUUAAAAAUAGGCCUUUAUAUACUGCAUAUAGAAGAAAAUUAAUAGCUAAGUAUUUUGCCAUGCUAGUCUUCUUCAACUGACAAGAUGUCAUUUAUUUUGUAAGUGGCAACAAAUAUUAUUCCCGUCAUCGUUACUGAUUGCACACUAAAAAAAGAAAGAAUAUGCUGUCGAUUUUACUACCAAAGCAAGAAGUCUUAAAUAUAAGAACGGCUCUAAAAAGUACCUGAAUC